UUCAUAGCAAGUUUUCGAUAUCGUCGCUUUAACUUUUCCUCGUCGAUAUUUUCAAUUUGCUUUGAUUAGCUAGAUGUUUCAUCUGAUACCUCCGAAUAGUGCUUUGUCGUCUCCUUGCUCCGAGUCUCACCAUCAGCUUCCUUCACGCAACCAAAAGUUGGUCUCCGAUUUGGAUUAUUAGUAUCAAUGAAAAACCAUCAAUUGUAUACUAACAAGGAUGAAGUUAAAAGAGUAGAAGAGGGUCGCAUUAUUAUUUCAGAUGCAAUAUUGGGCACUACUGGAAGAAAAGUUAAAGUUUUAGAAGUAUCAAAUAAUCACAGAGAAGAAGUUCAGAGACAGAUACGGUGUUUUGAUAAUUCUUUGAGACUCUCAUCCCAACAUUUUUUACAAGGCUUGUUUAUUUUCGCGAGGGGGAGACAUGGGUUUUUAUUUACCAGCAUUAUGGACUUAGCUGUGGGUCGAGAAUUGGGACAAAUUCAAGCUUUAUCUAAAACAAUUUUUACAAGCUCUCGCAAUAUUAUACGAAGGGAAGAAUAUGUAUCAUGGGAACUUAAGAGACUACAACUUGGGAACAAAUGGAGAUAGAGCCUUUGUUAGUGGAGUUGAAGGAAAUCAUCUUCCUGAUGGUUUUCAAGUAAAAAUCAUAUUCCAUGAUUUCCUUCAAUUCCACUAACAAAGGUUCUAUCCCCACUUAUUCCUAAGUUGUAGUCUCUUAACUUUCCAUGAUACAUAUUCUUCCCUUCGUAUAAUAUUGCGAGAGCUUGUAAAAAUUGCUUUAGAUAAAGCUUGAAUUUGUCCCAAUCCUCGACCCAGACAUCAGCUAAGUCCUUAUCAUAAUGCUGGUAAAUAAAAACCCAUGUCUCCC